rnacentral:rRNA from 1 species
GAUGAACGCUGGCGGCGUGCCUAAUACAUGCAAGUCGAGCGAACAGACGAGGAGCUUGCUCCUCUGACGUUAGCGGCGGACGGGUGAGUAACACGUGGAUAACCUACCUAUAAGACUGGGAUAACUUCGGGAAACCGGAGCUAAUACCGGAUAAUAUAUUGAACCGCAUGGUUCCAUAGUGAAAGACGGUUUUGCUGUCACUUAUAGAUGGCUCCGCGCCGCAUUAGCUAGUUGGUAAGGUAGCGGCUUACCAAGGCAACGAUGCGUAGCCGACCUGAGAGGGUGGUCGGCCACACGGGCACAGAGACAGGGUAGAGACUCCGACGCGAGGCCGCAGUAGGGAAUCUUACGCGAGGGACGAGUGCGGGACGGAGCAACGUGGCGUGAGUGAUGAAGGUCUUCGGAUCGGAGAACUCUGUAAGUAGGGAAGAUCAAAUGUGUAAGUAACUAUGCACGUCUUGACGGUACCGAAUCAGAAAGCCCCGGCUAACUACGUG